rfam:Medicago truncatula strain A17 chromosome 5, whole genome shotgun sequence.
AUAUAAGCAAAAUUGACUUUUUAGGUUCAUUUAUUUAAUGAUGUAUGUGGUCCAUAUUAUAAACCACAUAUAUAAUUAAAUGAAUGAACCUAAAAAGUCAAUUUUGCUUAUAU